UAGGACACGCUCAAUGCCUUUGUGUGGCUU
rnacentral:piRNA from 1 species